AGUGGCGGACGGGUGAGGAAUACGUAGGGAUCUGCCUUUAAGUGGGGGAUAACCCGGGGAAACCCGGAUUAAUACCGCAUGAUCUCGCAAGAGCAAAGAGGGGGACCGCAAGGCCUCUCGCUUUUAGAGGAACCUACGUCGGAUUAGCUAGUUGGUGAGGUAAUGGCUCACCAAGGCGACGAUCCGUAACUGGUCUGAGAGGAUGAUCAGUCACACCGGAACUGAGACACGGUCCGGACUCCUACGGGAGGCAGCAGUGGGGAAUAUUGGACAAUGGGCGAAAGCCUGAUCCAGCAAUACCGCGUGUGUGAAGAAGGCCUUCGGGUUGUAAAGCACUUUAAGUUGGGAAGAAAAAGCUUCACCUAAUACGUGGAGCCUUGACGGUACCGACAGAAUAAGCACCGGCUAACUCUGUGCCAGCAGCCGCGGUAAUACAGAGGGUGCUAGCGUUAAUCGGAUUUACUGGGCGUAAAGCGUGCGUAGGCGGUUUAAUAAGUCGAUUGUGAAAGCCCCGGGCUCAACCUGGGAAUUGCGGUCGAUACUGUCAGACUCGAAAACGGUAGAGGGAGGCGGAACUCCAGGUGUAGCGGUGAAAUGCGUAGAUAUCUGGAAGAACACCGAUGGCGAAGGCAACCUCCUGGGCCUGUUUUGACGCUGAGGCACGAAAGCGUGGGUAGCAAACAGGAUUAGAUACCCUGGU
rnacentral:rRNA from 1 species